rnacentral:rRNA from 1 species
GAUGAACGCUGGCGGCGUGCCUAACACAUGCAAGUCGAGCGAACGGACCAUAAGUUUGCUUGUCGCAUGUUAGCGGCGGACGUGUGAGUAACGCGUGUAUAACCUACCUAUCAUACUGGUAUAACUUCGGGAAUCCGGAUCUAACACCGUAUAAUAUUCUGAACCGCAUGGGUCAUAAGUGAAAGACGGUGUUGCUGUCACUUAUAGAUGGUUCUGCGCUUCAUUAGCUAGUUGGUAAGGUCACGGCUUACCAAGGCAACGAUGCAUAGCCGACCUGAGAGGGUGAUCGGCCACACGGGAACUGAGCCACGGUCCUGGCUACUACGGGAGGGAGCAGUAGGGAAUGUUACGCAAUGGGCGAGAGCAUGACGGAGCAACGCGGAGUGAGUGAUGGAGGUCUUCGGAUCGGAAAAAUCUGUUUUUAGGGGAGAACAGAUGUGGAAGUAACUGUGCACAUCUUGACGGUAACUAAUCAGGAAGCACCGGCUAACUACGUG